GAGUUUGAUCAUGGCUCAGGACGAACGCUGGCGGCACGCCUAACACAUGCAAGUCGAACGGAGAUAUUUUGGUUUACUGAGAUAUCUUAGUGGCGGACGGGUGAGUAACACGUGAGCAACCUGCCUCUGAGAGAGGGAUAGCUUCUGGAAACGGAUGGUAAUACCUCAUAACAUAACGAAGCCGCAUGACUUUGUUAUCAAAGAUUUAUCACUCAGAGAUGGGCUCGCGUCUGAUUAGAUAGUUGGUGAGGUAACGGCCCACCAAGUCGACGAUCAGUAGCCGGACUGAGAGGUUGAACGGCCACAUUGGGACUGAGACACGGCCCAGACUCCUACGGGAGGCAGCAGUGGGGAAUAUUGCACAAUGGGGGAAACCCUGAUGCAGCGAUGCCGCGUGGAGGAAGAAGGUUUUCGGAUUGUAAACUCCUGUCUUAAAGGACGAUAAUGACGGUACUUUAGGAGGAAGCUCCGGCUAACUACGUGCCAGCAGCCGCGGUAAUACGUAGGGAGCGAGCGUUGUCCGGAAUUACUGGGUGUAAAGGGAGCGUAGGCGGGAUGGCAAGUCAGAUGUGAAAACUAUGGGCUCAACCCAUAGACUGCAUUUGAAACUGUUGUUCUUGAGUGAAGUAGAGGUAAGCGGAAUUCCUGGUGUAGCGGUGAAAUGCGUAGAUAUCAGGAGGAACAUCGGUGGCGAAGGCGGGCUUWCUGGGCUUUUACUGACGCUGAGGCUCGAAAGCGUGGGGARCAAACAGGAUUARAUACCCUGGUWRUCCACGCUGGUAAACGAUGAUUACYAAGGKGUGGGGGGAYYKRACCCCUUCCC
rnacentral:rRNA from 1 species